GACGAACGCUGGUGGCGUGCUUAACACAUGCAAGUCGAACGGAAAGGCCCUGCUUUUGUGGGGUGCUCGAGUGGCGAACGGGUGAGUAACACGUGAGUAACCUGCCCUUGACUUUGGGAUAACUUCAGGAAACUGGGGCUAAUACCGGAUAGGAGCUCCUGCUGCAUGGUGGGGGUUGGAAAGUUUCGGCGGUUGGGGAUGGACUCGCGGCUUAUCAGCUUGUUGGUGGGGGAGUGGCUUACCAAGGCUUUGACGGGUAGCCGGCCUGAGAGGGUGACCGGCCACAUUGGGACUGAGAUACGGCCCAGACUCCUACGGGAGGCAGCAGUGGGGAAUAUUGCACAAUGGGCGGAAGCCUGAUGCAGCAACGCCGCGUGCGGGAUGACGGCCUUCGGGUUGUAAACCGCUUUCGCCUGUGACGAAGCGUGAGUGACGGUAAUGGGUAAAGAAGCACCGGCUAACUACGUG
rnacentral:rRNA from 1 species